rnacentral:rRNA from 1 species
CGAACGGGUGAGUAACGCGUGAGGAACCUGCCUCAAAGAGGGGGACAACAGUUGGAAACGACUGCUAAUACCGCAUAAGCCCACGGCUCGGCAUCGAGCAGAGGGAAAAGGAGCAAUCCGCUUUGAGAUGGCCUCGCGUCCGAUUAGCUAGUUGGUGAGGUAACGGCCCACCAAGGCGACGAUCGGUAGCCGGACUGGGAGGUUGAACGGCCACAUUGGGACUGAGACACGGCCUAG